AAAAAUCUCACCCAGCUUGGUGCUUUCGAGCGUUGAGUGGAGGUGGAUCUGGAUCUUUGCGUUAGCAAUCUUCUUAAAUUCAUUGUGUGUGCACCAAUUGAUGUUUCUUUUGGUUGUCCGAGUGCAACAGAUUUAUCUAUUUCGCUUUGGCAAUUGAUUGAUGCUCUUGAUGCGCAUGCUUCACCCAUAAUACGGUCUUCAAAUCGGUAUGAUUUGGAUUUCCGAUA
rnacentral:misc_RNA from 1 species